UACGUAGGGAGCGAGCGUUGUCCGGAUUCAUUGGGCGUAAAGAGCUCGUAGGCGGCUUGGCAAGUCGGGUGUGAAAACUCCAGGCUCAACCUGGGGCUUGCAGUGGGUACGGGCAGACUAGAGUGCGGUAGGGGUGACUGGAAUUCCUGGUGUAGCGGUGGAAUGCGCAGAUAUCAGGAGGAACACCGAUGGCGAAGGCAGGUCACUGGGCCGCAACUGACGCUGAGGAGCGGAAGCAUGGGGAGCGAACAGG
rnacentral:rRNA from 1 species